AAUUACUGCAAAUAAAGAUGGAAAGAAGGGGGUAUUUAAGAUACCUUUGGAAUUAGAAUAAACAGUCCUUCAAGAGCAAGGAAGCCCUGGAGUGCUCCAACAGUUGUGAGAUUAAACAUGGAGAAACAUGAUGUAACUUAACAUGGCAACACUGCAAGAAGCCCAGCUUAAAGAUGCUGGAAGUCUGAAUUGAGAUGUACCAUAGAAUGAUGGAAAAUGGGAGAGUUCAGAAUGUAUUUUGAAGGUAGAUCCCAAAAGAUUACUCCUGGGGAAAUAGAAGAAUAAAUAGAAAACAAAUGAUGUAACUUGAUCUGGACACUGGUAACAAGUUCAAGAAUUGAAUGUUGCUAUAAUAUAGGUCUGGUAUGUGUC